rnacentral:rRNA from 1 species
AGAGUUUGAUCCUGGCUCAGAACGAACGCUGGCGGCGUGCUUAACACAUGCAAGUCGAACGAGAAAGUUCUCUUCGGAGAGCGAGUAGAGUGGCGCACGGGUGAGUAACGCGUAGGUAAUCUACCCUUAUACCUGGGAUAACAUUGGGAAACUGGUGCUAAUACCGGAUACACUUUACUGCUGCGGGGCAGUAGAGGAAAGGUGACCUCUUGGUCAAAGUUACCGUAUAGGGAUGAGCCUGCGUACCAUUAGCUAGUAGGUGGGGUAACGGCCCACCUAGGCGACGAUGGUUAGCGGGUCUGAGAGGAUGAUCCGCCACACUGGAACUGGAACACGGACCAGACUCCUACGGGAGGCAGCAGUGAGGAAUAUUGCGCAAUGGGGGAAACCCUGACGCAGCGACGCCGCGUGAGUGAGGAAGGCCUUCGGGUCGUAAAGCUCUGUCAGAAGGGAAGAAGUGUUAUACGGUUAAUACCCGUAUAAUUUGACGGUACCUUCAGAGGAAGCACCGGCUAACUCCGUGCCAGCAGCCGCGGUAAUACGGAGGGUGCGAGCGUUGUUCGGAAUUACUGGGCGUAAAGGGCGCGUAGGCGGCUUUAUAAGUCAGAUGUGAAAGCCCACGGCUUAACUGUGGAAGUGCAUUUGAAACUGUGAAGCUUGAGUAUCGGAGGGGAGUGUGGAAUUCCCGGUGUAGAGGUGAAAUUCGUAGAGAUCGGGAGGAACACCGGUGGCGAAGGCGACACUCUGGACGAAUACUGACGCUGAGGCGCGAAAGCGUGGGGAGCAAACAGGAUUAGAUACCCUGGUAGUCCACGCCGUAAACGAUGAGUGCUAGGUGUCGCGGGUAUUGACCCCUGCGGUGCCAAAGUUAACGCGCUAAGCACUCCGCCUGGGGAGUACGGCCGCAAGGCUAAAACUCAAAGGAAUUGACGG